rnacentral:rRNA from 1 species
UGACAGUGGUGCAUGGUUGUCGUCAGCUCGUGUCGUGAGAUGUUGGGUUAAGUCCCGCAACGAGCGCAACCCCUAUUGUUAGUUGCCAUCAUUCAGUUGGGCACUCUAGCGAGACUGCCGGUAAUAAACCGGAGGAAGGUGGGGAUGACGUCAAAUCAUCAUGCCCCUUAUGACCUGGGCUACACACGUGCUACAAUGGUUGGUACAACGAGUUGCGAGUCGGUGACGGCGAGCUAAUCUCUUAAAGCCAAUCUCAGUUCGGAUUGCAGGCUGCAACUCGCCUACAUGAAGUCGGAAUCGCUAGUAAUCGCGGAUCAGCACGCCGCGGUGAAUACGUUCCCGGGCCUU